AUGAGCUGUGGAUAGGGGUGAAAGGCCAAUCAAACUUGGAGAUAGCUGGUUCUCCCGAAACAUAUUAGGUAUGGCCUUGGAUGUUCUUUGAGCCGGAGGUAGAGCACUGAAUGGGCUAGGGGUCCCACCGGAUUACCAACCCCAAUCAAACUCCGAAUGCCGGUUCUGUAUAGUCCAGGAGACAGACAGCGGGUGAUAACGUCCGUUGUCGAGAGGGAAACAACCCAGACCGCCGAUUAAGGUCCCAAAGUACUAGCUCAGUGGGAAAGGAUGUGGAAGCACUCCGACAACCAGGAGGUUGGCUUAGAAGCAGCCAUCCUUUAAAGAAAGCGUAAUAGCUCACUGGUCGAGUGAAUCCGCGCCGAAAAUGUAACGGGGCUUAAGCUAGUCACCGAAAUCGCGGACUUGCGCAAGCAAGUGGUAGGGGAGCUUCGUAGCAUCAGUGAAGCACGAUCGACAAGGACGUGUGGAGAGGCUACGAGUGAGUAUGCUGACAUGAGUA
rnacentral:rRNA from 1 species